CGGUGUAGCUCAGUGGUAGAGCAGCUGUUUUGUAAACAGCAGGUCAACGGUUCAAUCCCGUUCACC
rnacentral:tRNA from 1 species